CUGUCAGGGAAAAUUUGAAGGGACCAAUUGGUGCUUACUUUUGCCUCUGUGUAAAUUGGAAAGCGAACAUCUACCAUUAUUGGAAAUGGAGAAAAUCUUUUCUUUUGAUUGAAAAGAACAUUGUUGCCCCUCCUCUGAUUUUCUACAUCAUCAUUUUUGGAGAAAGCAAUCAUAAAUUUUAAGAUAAUCCCUGCUCAGAGAUGUGUUAUUUAUUCACCCUGUUAACAGCCAUUUCCUGUAAUCAGUAUAAACUGAUCAAUCUGCCAUAAUGAGAAUGGAGCCAGCAGCUUCCUGGCCAGGGAUGAGUCUGUGUCUCUUCUGAUCUGCAGACAUAACAUAUUGGAAGAGAAGACCACUGAAUUCCCACAUGCUCAGCAGUGAGAACACAGCAGCUUUCCCCUCUGCAGCUCUACCCCAGAUAGGGGUUGACCUUUGCUAAGUGUUCGAGCUGCCCUUAAUGAGGAAGGAAGCCUGUUGUAUAUAGAUCUUCCCAAAAAUCCAUGGAAAAAGGCAGUUGCCCAGUAACAAAGGGCCCAGCUCAGCUUCUCCUGCUCAUGAUAAGCAACAUCCCCCCUUUCAGAUGGUCCUGCUGCUCCCCUCCUCCUGCCUAAGAAUAACUGUGAUAUUCCAGCUAAAUGUGUGGGUUGCUCUCAAACCUACAAGGAGGUAUUGGAAACUCUGGAAGAAACAGGAAGGUCUUUCAAUGCCCUUUGGCCCUCUCUCUGCUAAUAGAAGAGAGAUUUCUCUGCACAGGACUCCUUUGCAAAGUAUAAUAAGCUUGGAGCAAUGCAGUGUUAUGAAGCUAUUUACCUGCUGGUAAUUGGCAAUUAAGCCCAGUAUAAAAGGCUAAUGGCAAUUCUCUUCUGCUUGCAGAGUAAGAGGUACAAAUCUUGCUUGAACAAACUGAAGACAUCUGUGAAACUCCCUGAAGUGAGUCAUGAAAGGGACAUAACCUCUCAACCACUUGCCAUGAAUUUUAAGGGCAGAGUCCCUAAAAACCAUAGAUGAAAUCAUGAAUCUAGGGCAUCUUACAGCACAGAGGGAAUUCCCGUUGGUUUGUAUGGGUGAGAUAGGAGCAGUCGUCAUCUAAGUGUGGGGAAAAAGGUAAGCUGGGCCCAGGCUCCUGGAGUCCUGCAGCAACCCCACCAUUGACUACAAACGUUGCUGGGAGACUUGGAUGACCCUCUCUGAACAAGGUUUUUAUUUAGAAGAAACAAACCACAUCCAGCAGCACUGCUCUCAACCCUGGCAGCAGGGACAGAAAGGGCUAACAAAAGACUGACCAAGAAAGCGCUAGAAGCGAUUACUGAGUGGCUGAUGAGCACACAGCCCGGUGAAUAAGAAAAGGCCUUCUGCAGGAUGUUCUUUCCUUCAUAUUCUGACCAAAACACAUCUGUAGAAGCAGUGGUUGAAUCCCACCUAUUCUUUCUCUUAUCAAAUGUGGUCUUGAAAUGAGCAUAAUGCUCCUCCACUGGGCAUAUUAUGGGAAGUCCCAUGGAUGAUUCAGGGUUACACUGUUUAGUAGGUACACUGAGAAGCAGAAAAAUAAGAACAGAAAGAGAGUAUCCUAGAUGGGUGACGGCACAUUCUCUGAGAGAGACCAGUGGAGCAUCAGGCAGCCUGGACAGUCUGCAGCUGCAAACUUCCCCAGGUGGUGACGUGUAGGACAGAGCUGCAUUCCACGUCACCUCACAGGCACAGCUGUGGUCACAGCUUCAUUAAAAGCCAGAAAUGACAAUCCUGUCUCAGGGUGUUUGUGACCUAAGGACGCUGCUGCUAGACACCUCCUAGAAAGAGCAAAAGAGAUGUGACCCCAGCUCUUGGACCCUACACAAAAAGAUGCCAGCGAAUACUGUAAUGAAGUGCUGUUAAGCCCCUUAAAAAGUAUUUUCCUCUUUGUACUAUUAAAUAUUGGUCAAUAUUCAGGCAAAAAUAAAUCCCUGACUGCACUAUGAAGUCAGUAUGAAUUUGAACUCACCAACCACAAGAACAGCUUUAAAUUAUGGCAGAAGAGAGAGUAGAUUGAGCCAAGGGUUGUAACAGCUGAAAACCAUCUAUGCAACAAGAACAACAAAGGUAGCAUCUUCUCCUAUCCCCAAAACUAGAAUAAAAAGUUCUGAA